UACGGAGGGUGCGAGCGUUGUCCGGAAUCACUGGGCGUAAAGGGCGCGUAGGCGGCCCGGUAAGUAGGGGGUGAAAUCUUGCGGCUCAACCGCAAGGCUGCCUUCUAAACUGCCAGGCUCGAGCACAGUAGAGGCAGGUGGAAUUCCCGGUGUAGCGGUGGAAUGCGUAGAGAUCGGGAAGAACAUCGGUGGCGAAGGCGGCAUCCUGGACCGGCAUUGACGCUGAGGCGCGAAAGCCAGGGGAGCAAACGGG
rnacentral:rRNA from 1 species